CCGGCAACCGGCGCACGGGUGAGUAACACGUAUGCAACCUGCCCGUCUCAGGGGGAUAAUCGUCGGAAACGGCGUCUAAUACCCCGUAUGAAGCUGGACGGCAUCGUCUGGUUUUGAAAGAAUAUCGGGAGACGGAUGGGCAUGCGGCGCAUUAGCUAGUUGGCGGGGUAACGGCCCACCAAGGCGACGAUGCGUAGGGGUUCUGAGAGGAAGGUCCCCCACACUGGUACUGAGACACGGACCAGACUCCUACGGAAGGCAGCAG
rnacentral:rRNA from 1 species